rnacentral:lncRNA from 1 species
CAGCCUGAGCGUGGACCCCACGCCCCUUUGGGUCCUGCCGGCCCCGAGGUCCCGAACGUGAAUAGCCUGACUAAACUCCGGUCCUGGCCUCCAGCCUCAAGGACCCUGGCCCCAGUUCCGUUUGGACUCAGUGUCCCUUCUCGACCCCCAGCCACGACCCCACGUUCGGCUCCCGCCAGUUCCUCUGGCCUGGAGCGCCACCCCGUGCAGACCCCAGCCGGCCCUGCACUUCCUCAGCGCCCUAGACCCCGCGUCGCGCACCCUCCCCAACCCCGGCCGGCCCCCGCUCCCCGCAGCACCCCCGCCCGCAGGCCCGGGGCCCGCUCCCCAACAUGGCGACGGGGACACGAGCGCGGCGGGCGGGGCGGCUCCGGGCCGGGCCCGCACAGGAGCCGUGUUCCACUGCCGGCCGGCGCCAUUUUCCCGCGCCGGGCCCGGGCGGCGCCUCCUUCCCGCGGAGCCAGCGGGACCGGGACCCCAGACGCCCGGCGGGCCCACCCCUUACGGGCCCGCGUCGCCGUCACCUCACCUGAGCGCGGCCCCAGCCCUCCCGGGCGGGCCUCGGAGCACCGGCCCGGGCCGUGCGCGCCCGCCGCCCUCCGUGUGUCCGUCAGUCCGUCCUCGCGUGCGUCCGUCUGUCCGGCCGUCGGCGCCCGGCCGCCCGCAGCCCGACCCGGCAGGGCCUCAGGGAGCCGGCGGGGAGGGGGAUGGGCCGGACCGGGCUGGGGAGGGAGGGGGAGGGAGGGAGAGAGGGUGGGAGCGCGGGAGGGGGCGGGGCGGGCGGGGGCGGGCCCUGGUCACGUGGCCAAACGUCCCCGAGAGCGCGAGGCGGAGCGCGCGCCCGCUCACUUGCGUGCAGAGCUUAGUGCCCGGGUCGGGAGAGUUUCUGUCUCCUGGAGCCUUAAUAUCAUCAGUGGCUCUUGGCUCCGUUUCAGAGUAGUGCACAGCCUUAUAGGAGCCCUCUGGCUGAGUGUGCUUGGGCAAGUCAGCGCUCCAAGCCUCAGUUUACAUAUCUGA